rnacentral:rRNA from 1 species
UUUUUAUGGAGAGUUUGAUCCUGGCUCAGAGUGAACGCUGGCGGCGUGCUUAACACAUGCAAGUCGAGGGGCAGCAGGCCGACUCUUCGGAGUUGGUGCUGGCGACCGGCGGACGGGUGCGUAACACGUAGCUACUUGCCCUACAGUGGGGGAUAACCCGGGGAAACCCGGGCUAAUACCGCAUACACCCGAGAGGGGAAAGGCCGUAAGGUCGCUGUAGGAUAG